rnacentral:misc_RNA from 1 species
UUUCCGUAGGUGAACCUGCGGAAGGAUCAUUAUUGAAUAAACCUGAUGUGGUUGUAGCUGGCCCUUUCGGGAGCAUGUGCACACCCGUCGUCUUUAUCUUUCCACCUGUGCACCUUUUGUAGACCUGGAUGUAACACUUUUCGAGGCAACUCGGUCGGGAGGAAUGCUGUCAGCUUUCCUUGAAUGUCCAGGCCUAUGUUUUUAUAUACCCCAAAGAAUGUAACAGAAUGUAUUAUUGGGCCUUGUGCCUAUAAACUAUAUACAACUUUCAGCAACGGAUCUCUUGGCUCUC